AAAAUCAUGAAAAUUAGACACAGAACUUUUGCUAAAGAUACAUUGCGAACAUUCCACCCAAUUAAUUAAUCACCAAAUCAAACAACAAAAUGAAUCCUUCCCAAAACCAAAAAAGAAAAAAAUAAUCCUUAAUUCUCAAGCAUUUUUUCAAUCAAAAACCCAUUUUGAGAAUCAAUCUCUCCACUCUUAAUUUCUACUUUUUUGAAGAAAAAAAAAAUCAUAGUAUAAAUAAAUUGAGAAUUGAGAUCAAGUGGGAUUCUUCGUGUUCAUCUUGCAUUGUCUUUUAAUUCAUGGCUAAUUUCAUCAUUUGGAUUCUUCUGACACAGUUGUUUUCUUCUCUUCAACAGCAACUUCUUCUUCUUUCUCUUUCUCUUUCUCUUUCUCUUUCUCUUUCUUUUCCUCUUCCCCAUCCCCAUUAGAACUCUUUGGUUUCUCUUCUUCCUUCACCUCCUCUUCCUGCUUUUCUUCAGUCUUCACUUUAUCAGACUGUCAACCCAUUACAUAUGUAUAAAUAUAUGUAAAACUUGUUAGAUAUAUUAAUAUUGAUAUAAGAUAUAAAGAAGGUACGAAUGUGUGUGUGUAUAUAUAUAUACCUCGUCGAGUAAGGAGCCAAGAGACUGGGUUUUGUUGUCAUCGUCCUCUUUUUUCUCUUCUGGUUGCUGAUCGGCUUUCACAUCUUCCUGGCCCUCCACAGCAUCAAACAUCUCCUCCUUAGCAGGCUCAGGGGCUGCAUUGAUUUCAUCCUUCAGUUCUCUCGGAGCACUUGCACAAGCACCCAUCUUAUCUUAUUCUUAUUAAUCUACUUUUUUUUUUUUUGUUGUGUAAUUUGAAAAACAAAAAAUCUUUCUCUCUCUCUAUAUUUUAGAGAGAGAAAGCUUGAACAAAACCCAGAAGUCUGAAACCAAAUCCACCAAGAAUGCUAUC
rnacentral:lncRNA from 1 species